AAGUCGUAACAAGGUUUCCGUAGGUGAACCUGCGGAAGGAUCAUUAUUGAAUGAAAUUGAGUGGGGUUGUCGCUGGCCUUUCACCGGGCAUGUGCACACCUCAUUCAACCUCUCUACACCUCUGUGCACUUCUCAUGGGUUGGACUGCGUCUGAAAUAUUGACAUGGCCCCUCUCAUGUGUUUUAUACAAACUAUACAUGUUUUAGAAUGUCUAUACAAUGCGUAAAAGCAUAUAAUACAACUUUCAACAACGGAUCUCUUGGCUCUC
rnacentral:misc_RNA from 1 species